rnacentral:hammerhead_ribozyme from 1 species
AUCCAGCUAACGAGUCCCAAAUAAGAUGAAACGCGCGUCCUGGAU